rnacentral:tRNA from 3 species
GCCGGGGUGCUGAAAUGGUAGACAGGCCGGUCUCAAAAACCGGUGGCCGCAAAGCCAUGAGGGUUCGACUCCCUCCCCCGGCA